CAGCAGCAGCCGCGGGAAUACGUAGGUCCCGAGCGUUGUCCGGAUUUAUUGGGCGUAAAGCGAGCGCAGGCGGUUAGAUAAGUCUGAAGUUAAAGGCUGUGGCUUAACCAUAGUACGCUUUGGAAACUGUUUAACUUGAGUGCAAGAGGGGAGAGUGGAAUUCCAUGUGUAGCGGUGAAAUGCGUGGAUAUAUGGAGGAACACCGGUGGCGAAAGCGGUUCUCUGGCUUGUAACUGACGCUGAGGCUCGAAAGCGUGGGGAGCAAACAGGAUUAGAUACCCGAGUAGUCCCUGUCUCUUAUACA
rnacentral:rRNA from 1 species